rnacentral:rRNA from 1 species
UCAUCUCCGGGGGUAGAGCACUGUUUCGGCAAGGGGGUCAUCCCGACUUACCAACCCGAUGCAAACUGCGAAUACCGGAGAAUGUUAUCACGGGAGACACACGGCGGGUGCUAACGUCCGUCGUGAAGAGGGAAACAACCCAGACCGCCAGCUAAGGUCCCAAAGUCAUGGUUAAGUGGGAAACGAUGUGGGAAGGCCCAGACAGCCAGGAUGUUGGCUUAGAAGCAGCCAUCAUUUAAAGAAAGCGUAAUAGCUCACUGGUCGAGUCGGCCUGCGCGGAAGAUGUAACGGGGCUAAACCAUGCACCGAAGCUGCGGCAGCGACGCUGAUGCGUUGUUGGGUAGGGGAGCGUUCUGUAAGCCUGCGAAGGUGUGCUGUGAGGCAUGCUGGAGGUAUCAGAAGUGCGAAUGCUGACAUAAGUAACGAUAAAGCGGGUGAAAAGCCCGCUCGCCGGAAGACCAAGGGUUCCUGUCCAACGUUAAUCGGGGCAGGGUGAGUCGACCCCUAAGGCGAGGCCGAAAGGCGUAGUCGAUGGGAAACAGGUUAAUAUUCCUGUACUUGGUGUUACUGCGAAGGGGGGACGGAGAAGGCUAUGUUGGCCGGGCGACGGUUGUCCCGGUUUAAGCGUGUAGGCUGGUUUUCCAGGCAAAUCCGGAAAAUCAAGGCUGAGGCGUGAUGACGAGGCACUACGGUGCUGAAGCAACAAAUGCCCUGCUUCCAGGAAAAGCCUCUAAGCAUCAGGUAACAUCAAAUCGUACCCCAAACCGACACAGGUGGUCAGGUAGAGAAUACCAAGGCGCUUGAGAGAACUCGGGUGAAGGAACUAGGCAAAAUGGUGCCGUAACUUCGGGAGAA